AGAAUCAACGCUGGCGGCGUGCCUCAGACAUGCAAGUCGAACGCGAAAGUCCCCUUCGGGGGACAAGUAGAGUGGCGCACGGGUGAGUAACACGUAGGUAAUCUACCUUCGGAUGGGGAAUAACAACCGGAAACGGUUGCUAAUACCGCAUAAUGCAGCGGCACCUAAUGGUGACAGUUGUUAAAGCGGGGGAUCGAAAGACCUCGCGUCUGAAGAGGAGCCUGCGGCGGAUUAGCUAGUUGGUAGGUAACGGCCUACCAAGGCGACGAU
rnacentral:rRNA from 1 species